rnacentral:rRNA from 1 species
GACGAACGCUGGCGGCGUGCUUAACACAUGCAAGUCGAACGGAAAGGCCCUGCUUUUGUGGGGUGCUCGAGUGGCGAACGGGUGAGUAACACGUGAGUAACCUGCCCUUGACUUUGGGAUAACUUCAGGAAACUGGGGCUAAUACCGGAUAGGAGCUCCUGCUGCAUGGUGGGGGUUGGAAAGUUUCGGCGGUUGGGGAUGGACUCGCGGCUUAUCAGCUUGUUGGUGGGGUAGGGGCUUACCAAGGCUUUGACGGGUAGCCGGCCUGAGAGGGUGGCCGGCCACAUUGGGACUGAGAGACGGCCCAGACUCCUACGGGAGGCAGUAGUGGGGAAUAUUGCACAAUGGGCGGAAGCCUGAGGCAGCAACGCCGCGUGCGGGAUGACGGCCUUCGGGUUGUAAACCGCUUUCGCCUGUGACGAAGCGUGAGUGACGGUAAUGGGUAAAGAAGCACCGGCUAACUACGUG